rnacentral:rRNA from 1 species
GAUGAACGCUGGCGGCGUGCUUAACACAUGCAAGUCGAACGAUGAAAGCGAGAGCUUGCUCCUGCUGGAUUAGUGGCGAACGGGUGAGUAACACGUGAGCAAUCUGCCCCGAACUCUGGGAUAAGCGUUGGAAACGACGUCUAAUACCGGAUACGACGCGCGAAGGCAUCUUCUGCGCGUGGAAAGAACUUCGGUUCGGGAUGAGCUCGCGGGCUAUCAGCUAGUUGGUGAGGUAACGGCCCACCAAGGCGACGACGGGUAGCCGGCCUGAGAGGGUGACCGGCCACACUGGGACUGAGACACGGCCCAGACUCCUACGGGAGGCAGCAGUGGGGAAUAUUGCACAAUGGGCGCAAGCCUGAUGCAGCAACGCCGCGUGAGGGACGACGGCCUUCGGGUUGUAAACCUCUUUUAGUAGGGAAGAAGCGAAAGUGACGGUACCUGCAGAAAAAGCACCGGCUAACUACGUGCCAGCCGCCGCCGUAACAC